AAGAAGGCCUUCGGGUUGUAAAGCUCUUUCAGCAGGAGCGAAACGGUCGUUUUUAAUACAGACGGCUAAUGACGGUACCUGCAGAAGAAGCACCGGCUAACUACGUGCCAGCAGCCGCGGUAAUACGUAGGGUGCGAGCGUUAAUCGGAAUUACUGGGCGUAAAGCGUGCGCAGGCGGCGACAUAAGACAGAUGUGAAAUCCCCGGGCUCAACCUGGGAACUGCAUUUGUGACUGUGUUGCUAGAGUGUGGCAGAGGGGGGUGGAAUUCCACGUGUAGCAGUGAAAUGCGUAGAUAUGUGGAGGAACACCGAUGGCGAAGGCAGCCCCCUGGGUUAACAACUGACGCUCAUGCACGAAAGCGUGGGGAGCAAACAGGAUUAGAUACC
rnacentral:rRNA from 1 species